GGUAAGAUGGACGAGCGGUUAAGGCGUGUGACUCAAGCUUCCGAAACACGAAGCUUCCUCUUCUCAUGGGGGAAACCCCGCCAGAGUUCAGAUCUCUGUCUUACCA